UUUUUUUUUUUUUUUUUGCAUUCUGUGACAUUCCUUAAUAGCAAGUUGUCAUAGUCUUCCCAUAGCAGAAUUUUUACAAAAGAAUCCAUAUCCUAAGGGGUUAGAAUAAGUGAGAGCUUUUCUUAGCACUACCUAAGACUGACUCUGUUUUUCAUCCUUCUGGAAAGCUACAUUUGACAGCUAAUGGAUCUGUUUUGUUCUAAAGCUACCAUCUGCUCCACGGCACUUUUAAAGGUUUCUAUUAUCACCAUCAUGUGUAAGAUGUAUAAAUAUAUGUUAAUAAUUAUUCAUUUCUAAGAAAAAGGCAAAAACACAAUUACACUUAGGCUUCAAAGAUAUAACAUCUAAACAAAUAUACUGGCGACUCCUAGUUAUACACACAUUUGAUAUCGCUGAAAACUAAAAGAACAUUUUAUUAUUACAACAGAAUUGCAGGAAGUGCUGGAGAGGACUGUACAAGUUACAGCUUCCAAACAUGAGUCUGCUAAUUCCAGGAGUGGCUAUACAGCAGGGAUGUGUCUCUGCUACACAGGUCUCUCUUCUUGUCAGAGACACGCUAGUGCCACCGGGGUACCUGCUGGCAUUUGAAUUCCAGGUUCUGAUUCAACUCCAAGCCCUAACCUACCUGAUUUGUUUGCUCAACCCUUUCUUCAACCCUGUGAUCCAAUGAAAUGUCUGAUAUGGUCAUGCUAGUUCAAACUGGGUUUUUGUCAUUUUCAGCAAAGAAAAUUCCUGACUGAUGGAUAAAAUAUCAAAAUAGAAUGACCUUUCAUCUAGUUUAUUCCUUACUCUCUAGUUUACUCUACUUGGCAAACUGGUCUGUGGUAUGUGUUCACUAGGUGCCAAUAACAUCUCAUCCCUUCCAGGCAACAUAGAUACCUCUUAAACUCGACCUCAGGAAGAGUGUGCCCAUACCUAGGGAACUAUGGGUGGUCAGCAGUAAGGAGAUUUUGGCCAUGGUAAGGAUACGUUGUAUUGUUCUUCAGUGAAUUUGGCAUAUGAACAAUACCUGGUACAAUGUUAAACCUACCCUGGUGAAAAGAGAAUUCAAUUUCCUCUUUCUGUAAGCCGAGAACAUAUCUUGGUAGAUUCCUGGUUGCAUGUGGGAGAGGAGCUCAGGAAGCCAGCUGGGCAGGAAUUACCACAGACAAGGAGACCCAGGCUGAGCCAGAGGACAGCAGGUCACGGAAGGCUGUAGUACAUGCAGACCUGGGGUAUAAUUCUGGGGAUUGCUGCUGGAAUUGGAAUCAAAGGGGGCCCAGAGAGUGAUGACAAUAGCGAGCAUUCCAGAGGAGGCAAUGGCCUGUAGAAAGGCUGAGAAGGGAGCAGAGUGGACUGCAGAGUGGUCAGACGUGGGGCUGUCCUAGCGGGGUGGGAGGGGUGAUCAUCCACAAACCACAUGAAUAGGAACUUAAUUCAGGAAGUGUGUGAUGUAAGAUUUGAAUUCAACAGAGGCUCUCCUGCAGGUUUGCAAACAGAGGAGUCGGGUGAUCCUCAUGAGAUUUGUGUCAGAUUGUUCUCCAGGCUUUGUGUGGGAAUCUGAGGGAGUAGUUAGGCCAAUGGCAGAGCCCCAGACAUUGUUGCCAAAGCUGCAGGACUAUGUUGGAAGGGACAAGGGAUGGGCCAGAAGGACACAAAGUGAUGACUUCCUGUGAGGGAAAGACAUUUAAGUAGGGAGGGGCUAGAGUUGGUUCUAGGCUGUGAGCCCCAGAAACUGACAGGAGGGCACCAUUCCUGGAGCUCCUUGAAGAUGGGAACAGGAGGGUGAGAGGAGCAACCACACUGACUCUCUCAGAAGAAAGACUCAAGUGAUACUCAGAAACCUGGUGGUUCUUCCAAGACCAGGAUUCUGAAAGAACAGUUCUUUUUUUUUUUUUUUUUUAACCCAGCGACAAUUAGAUCAAACCACUGGAUAGUAAAAGGAUUGAUUCCAUCUGGACUCCCUCUAGGAGACAUCUCAACUACUCAACUUAGGUAACUCAUUAAGGAAACCCUCUCAGAAAUUUGUUUUUCCUGUCAAGAGAGCUAUAUAGAUAUUAUUUUCAUUCUUGUUCUUUCUUCAGGAGGGUGGUGUUGUUUGAAAAACUAAACAAAUGGUGGAUAAUAAUUGGGAAUAAUUGUGCAAGCAAGACCUGAGCUAAAUUCUUUUUAUGACGUAUUCUCAUAAUCUGCAGAAAUCAUUCUACGUUUUAAGCAGGGAAGACAAAUGUGAAGUCCUAGUGUCUGGUUUUCGUGAGUGGAUUAGACUCAUCGAGACAGGUGUGAUACUCCAGAAACCCUCUUGCCCACUGCCCUCUAGUAUUUGAAUAGGAGCAGUCGCGUUGUGUAUCAUGUGAGCCAGCCCCCUAGCCACAGCCCCUGGGAACCCAGUCAGUGAGCUGACACACGGUCAGCCAAUCCAUGGUCAGACAUCUAGAAAGAGGUUUGGGGAAGGGGAGGGACAAAUAGCUCUGCCCAGAGAUGAUAGUGAUUAAGUGAACUAAUCAGAUUCUUUCUCUCAGAAAUUCCCUUCCUUAGAAAAUCAAAGAGCCCCAUCUAGAACAGCAACAUCGCCAUCACUCUAAAGUUCACUUGUACCUUUCUGUAGGCUGCUGACAAUUAGCCAGAAGUUCCUAUAAUUAUUUGACCUACUAAAGAAGUAAGUCAGAUCCCUAGACCAGGAUCACCAGCAACUUCCCUGAUGUUGACCGGAAGGGUCUCACCAGAGUCUGACAACUAGAGGCAGAAGCCAGAUUUGUGGAGCUCUUACUACCACCAUCUCCACCACCUCAGAUACAGUUGCCUGCUUCGGAGGCACUCAGAAAAGAUGACUAUGACAUCUCAGCAUCCUUUACCGAGGUGUACUUAAGAACACUGGUCACACCCCUUCUUUCCUGAGUGCUGACAGCACCGGUCCCUGCAUCAGAGGCACCAUCCUCCUAAGUGUCACCAAGGAGACAUGCUCUGAUACAUCUCGUUCAAAAGAGGAAUGCAUGGUGGUCCUGUAGCCUUUUUAUGCAGCAGUAUAAAGGGGCCUGCUGCCACCGGCCGAUCAUCAGAGAAGCAACUCUUCUGAUUGACGGUUCUGCAGACAGGUCUUUCCAAUUAUCACAGGUAUAAUUUACUGGCCUCACGGUCCGGUCAGAGCAAUCAGCUUCUCCUGCAAAAGCAGAAAGCCCUGCAAUGGUCACCUUUUGUCUAGCUUUUCAGCCGUGAAAGAAUCUAUUUCAACCAUCUCCACAGGCUUGAUGGGUAAUUUGCCUGGUUUGCACUAAGCAGCAGGUCUCUGAUGCUGCCGUAUUAAAAAAAGAAACCCUUCAUCCGGCCCGCUGGGAGUGCAAAGUGUCUGUCUUGAUUCAGAUGUUUGCCUUUCUACAAUUGCAAUCAGUCCUGGUGCGCUAUGUGGUUGUGACAGCUACAAGGUGGAAUCCUGCAGAGCAGCUCCGAGAUUUGUCAGGAAAAUAGGCUUCACACAUACACCCCCCGUUUGGUUGACCAGGGUGAGCUACUGAAAUUUCAACCGACAAGCCGUCCCUAUCUUUCUGUAGUGACUAAAUUAUUAAGAGAGUGGAAUGCAAAUCAAAACCACCGUGAAUACCGCAUCACACUCAUUCAGGUGACUAUUUAAAAAAAA
rnacentral:lncRNA from 1 species